AGUGUCGGGGUCAGGACUCAGAGUCUACUAGCCCUCAGGGAAUAACUGAGGCUCACACUCCAGCCAGCAGGUGGCGCUAAUACACCUUUAACGACCGCUGCCACCCGCCAUUAAAACACACGAAGAAGAAGCAGAUGAUUGACAGCUGUGAUUGAUAGCUGCUCUAAGUGAAGUCGUCGCAGCCGGAUGCUCGAGAGGAGACCUAACUAUAACUUUCUAUAACCGCCACUAGUCUGAACUCUGGUUUCAAGUGACGUCAAAUUCUGAAGAUGGCAGCUCCUGUAUCCGGGAUAUUUUGGCUUCACUCUUGUACAGCGGGAGGAAGAGGAGACACGUCGUCCAUCUUUAUAUCCAGUUUAUGGUCCUAACGUAGAGGGAACUUUAUGAAGACGACUCCCUGAAACAAUGAAAACCCUGCUCUGUUCUCCAACAUGGCCUGUCCCUCUACUAUGAAGCACAUUGGAUACUCUCACUUCCUGCCUGGCAGUUUGGACCCAGGACCAGCAGGCUGGCUGUAGAACAACAACAUCACUGUAAUGCUAAAGGACUCUUGUGCAGGAUGGACGCCUGCCUCGAUGGAUCUAGAUCCUGGUUCCUCCUCUUCCUCGCCACAAGGCCCACGUGUCCGCGCGGAGAACCUCAUAUUUAAGGUUGUUGCUAACUUUUGCUGGCUGCUUUUGGUGGACUGGUUAUACUGGGACAGAGAGGCUGAGCGGACUGGUUAUACUGGGACCAGAGAGGCUGCAUAACAUGCGUUGAGAUAGAACGAGCAGAGAAGUUGAACCAGAAUCAGAUUGAGGAGGACUUCAGACCGAGCAGCUCCGUUGUCUUCCUCUCGUUGAGUAAGAUCCGUUCCGUUCCAGCAGGUAAAUGAGGUGAGCUGCUCUUCACCUGAGUGUUGAACAACGCCCACAUCCACCAGCGGCUGCUGCUGGUCGAUGGAAGGGAACCCGCAAGUUGUGAGGAAACUCUCGCGAGAAUAACUUGUCUUUUUUUUUUUUUUCUUUGCACACUGACUACCUCAAUUAUUAACAAAACAUUGUAACUUGCACACUUUGCUAAUGUAUAUACUGUAGUAUCUUGCACACUUUUGCUAAUGUAUAUUAUGUAAUUGCAUACUUUUGCUAAUGUAUAUAGUGGGUUACUCUAUGUUUUCAAUUUUAGAUUUUUGUUAAUACUAGUUGUAGCAGUCAGGUAUAUUUAUAGUGUAUUCCAAUAUUCUUUAUAUUUUGUAUUCUAUGGAUAUAUUUCUUUAAUGUUGAUGUGUACAUUUUUGAUAGUUCAAGCCUGCCGCCAAAGAUAUAUCAACACCUGCAGACCAGAACAACAAGAAGUACACAAAAUGUGCAGAAAAACCUAUCCAAACAGUGGAAAACAAUCCAAUAAAAACAAUGAAAUACAUACAAAAAACAGUACAGAAAAUAAGAAAAUAUAUCUAAACAUAUCAAAAGAUAAUUAGACAUCAUGAAUUAACUUCAUUCCACCUUUUUGAGGCAGUAAAUUAUUACACAAUCUAUUGAACUAGAGAUAUCAUGUAUUGUAUGGUGCCUUCAAAUUAAACUCUUUUACCAGCCUAUAUUUCACUCCUUAAACCUGCAGUGGGCAGAAUAUUUUUGGUAUCAUUGGGCAAAAAUUCCAUAAUAACCUUACAGCAUAUUGUAAUUAUUUUAUUUUAUUUAUUUAUUUGCACAUAUAUAAAACUG